rnacentral:rRNA from 1 species
GAUGAACGCUAGCGGCAGGCCUAAUACAUGCAAGUCGGACGGGAUUCAGGAGCUUGCUUCUGAUGAGAGUGGCGCACGGGUGCGUAACACGUAUGUAACCUACCUUUAUCAGGGGGAUAGCCUCUCGAAAGAGAGAUUAAGCCCGCAUAAAAUCACAGCACAGCAUUGUGUAAUGAUCAAAUAUUUAUAGGAUAAAGAUGGGCAUGCGGAACAUUAGCUAGAUGGCGGGGUAACGGCCCACCAUGGCGACGAUGUUUAGGGGAUCUGAGAGGAUGGCCCCCCACACUGGUACUGAGACACGGACCAGACUCCUACGGGAGGCAGCAGUAAGGAAUAUUGGGCAAUGGGCGGAAGCCUGAACCAGCCAUGCCGCGUGCAGGAAGACGGCCCUACGGGUUGUAAACUGCUUUUAUACGGGAAUAAACCCAGAUACGUGUAUCUGGCUGAAUGUACUGUAAGAAUAAGGAUCGGCUAACUCCGUG